rnacentral:rRNA from 1 species
CCUACGGGAGGCAGCAGUGAGGAAUUUUGGUCAAUGGGCGCGAGCCUGAACCAGCCAAGUAGCGUGAAGGAUGACUGCCCUACGGGUUGUAAACUUCUUUUAUAAAGGAAUAAAGUGCGGCACGUGUGCCUUUUCGUGUGUACUUUAUGAAUAAGCAUCGGCUAACUCCGUGCCAGCAGCCGCGGUAAUACGGAGGAUCCGAGCGUUAUCCGGAUUUAUUGGGUUUAAAGGGAGCGUAGAUGGGUUGUUAAGUCAGUUGUGAAAGUUUGCGGCUCAACCGUAAAAUUGCAGUUGAUACUGGCAGCCUUGAGUACAGUUGAGGUAGGCGGAAUGCGUGGUGUAGCGGUGAAAUGCUUAGAUAUCACGAAGAACUCCGAUUGCGAAGGCAGCUUACUAACCUGCCACUGACAUUGAUGCUCGAAAGUGUGGGUAUCAAACAGGAUUAGAUACCCGAGUAGUC